GAAAUGCGAUACGUAAUGUGAAUUGCAGAAUUCAGUGAAUCAUCGAAUCUUUGAACGCAACUUGCGCUCCUUGGUAUUCCAUGGAGCAUGCCUGUUUGAGAGUCACGUAAACCCUCACCCUUACGAUGUUACAAUUGUAUUGUGGUGGAUUUGGAUUGUGCCGUAAUUGGCUCAUCCUGAAAUGCAUUAGCUUGUGCUUUUUACAGUGCUCGGCAUGGUGUGAUAAUUAUCUGCGCCGUCGCCUUAGGCCUGUUCUAUAUGUGCAGCUUCUAAUCGUCCCUUGUGGACAACUUACUUAACACUUUGGCCUCAAAUCAGGUAGGACUACCCGCUGAACUUAA
rnacentral:misc_RNA from 1 species